UCUCCCCUGCGCUGUUGGUGAUUAACAGGUAAAGUUUGAGCCAACUCUCAAAGAUAGGGCGCCUCCUCUGUUCCUGGAUAGCAGAUUCGCAUUACGCGAAAUUACUAAAAGGGGUUAUGAGCACUGCCCACCUAGCGCAAGUUAGGUUCUAUCUUUCUGUUGACACGGCAGGGCGGGGGAUUU
rfam:Desulfobacterales bacterium SG8_35 WOR_8-12_1354, whole genome shotgun sequence.